GACGAACGCUGGCGGCGUGCCUAAUACAUGCAAGUCGAACGCAGUGGGGACGGGUGAGUAACACGUGGGUAACCUCCCAUCAGAGGGGAUAACACUUGGAAACAGGUGCUAAACCGAUACUGAUGGAUGGACCCGCGGUGCAUUAGCUAGUUGGUGAGGUGACGGCUCAACAAGGCCACGAUGCAUAGCGUCCCGGAUGGGGGGCAGUGGCACACUGGGACUGUGAAACGGAGCAGAAUCCUACGGUAGUAAGAAGUAGGUAAUCUUAGGGAAUGGACGAAAGUCUGACCGAGCAACGCCUCGUGAGUGAAGAAGUUUUUCGGAUCGUAAAACUCUUUUGUUAGAGAAGCGGUAUCUACCCAGAAAGCCACGGCUAACUACGUGCCAGCCGCCGCGGUAAUUC
rnacentral:rRNA from 1 species